UACGUAGGGGGCAAGCGUUGUCCGGAUUUAUUGGGCGUAAAGAGCGUGUAGGCGGUUAGGUAGGUCCGUUGUGAAAACUCGAGGCUCAACCUCGAGACGCCGAUGGAAACCAUCUAACUAGAGUCCGGAAGAGGAGAGUGGAAUUCCUGGUGUAGCGGUGAAAUGCGCAGAUAUCAGGAAGAACACCCGUGGCGAAGGCGGCUCUCUAGUACGGUACUGACGCUGAGACGCGAAAGCGUGGGGAGCGAACAGG
rnacentral:rRNA from 1 species